rnacentral:ncRNA from 1 species
CAUAGCCUUGGUCCUGACCUUACUAUUAGUUCUUAGUAAACUUACACAUGCAAGCAUCAACGUCCCAGUGAGAAUGCCCUUUAAGUCCAUCAGACCAAAAGGAGCAGGUAUCAAGCCCACAAACCCAAUGUAGCUCACAACACCUUGCUCAACCACACCCCCACGGGAAACAGCAGUGAUAAAAAUUAAGCAAUGAACGAAAGUUUGACUUAGUUAUACUAACACCCAAGGGUUGGUAAAUUUCGUGCCAGCCACCGCGGUCAUACGAUUAACCCAAAUUAAUAUUCACCGGCGUAAAACGUGUUUAAGGAAAUCGAACAAAUAAAGCUAAACCAAGACUAAGCCGUAAAAAGCUACAGUCAAAAUAAAAUAAACAACGAAAGUGGCUUUAACAAACCCGAACACACGAUAGCUAAGACCCAAACUGGGAUUAGAUACCCCACUAUGCUUAGCCCUAAACCAAGACAUUUGACAAACUAAAAUGUUCGCCAGAGUACUACUAGCAACAGCCUAAAACUUAAAGGACUUGGCGGUGCUUCACACCCCCCUAGAGGAACCUGUCCUAUAAUCGACAAACCCCGAUAGACCUCACCACCCCUCGCCAAUGCAGCCUAUAUACCGCCAUCCUCAGCAAACCUUGGAGAGUACCACAGUAAGCACAAUCAUCAUUCGUAAGUACGUUAGGUCAAGGUGUAGCCCAUGGGGUGGAAAGAGAUGGGUUACAUUUUCUUACAAAAGAAAAUCAACGGAAGUUUCCAUGAAACCCUAGAAACCGAAGGAGGAUUUAGAAGUAACCUGAGAAUAGAGCGCUCAGUUGAACCAGGCCAUGAAGCACGCACACACCGCCCGUCACCCUCCUCAACCCGCCCACAACCAAUAAACAUAUUAUUUACAUCACCGGCACCCCCCAGAGGAGACAAGUCGUAACAAGGUAAGCAUACUGGAAAGUGUGCUUGGAGAAAUC